rnacentral:rRNA from 1 species
GUCUACGGCCAUACCACCCUGAACACGCCCGAUCUCGUCUGAUCUCGGAAGAAACUCAAGCCAUAAGUCUAUUAGAAUUUGUGAACA